rnacentral:rRNA from 1 species
AGAACGAACGCUGGCGGCAUGCCUAAUACAUGCAAGUCGAACGAACACUUCGGUGUUAGUGGCGCACGGGUGCGUAACGCGUGGGAAUCUGCCCUUGGGUUCGGAAUAACAGUUGGAAACGACUGCUAAGUACCGGAUGAUAUCGAAAGAUACAAAGAUUUAUCGCCCAGGGAUGAGCCCGCGUAGGAUUAGCUAGUUGGUGGAGGUAAAGGCUACACCAAGGCACGUAUCCUUAGCUGGUCUGAGAGGAUGAUCACGCCACACUGGGACUGAGACGACGCC